ACAACUGAAUUACUAGGAUGUGA
rnacentral:siRNA from 1 species